rnacentral:rRNA from 1 species
GAUGAACGCUAGCGAUAGGCUUAACACAUGCAAGUCGAGGGGCAGCAUGGUCUUAGCUUGCUCAGACUGAUGGCGACCGGCGCACGGGUGCGUAACGCGUAUGCAACUUGCCUCACAGAGGGGGAUAACCCGUCGAAAGACGGACUAAUACCGCGUACACUUGGGAUAGGGCAUCCUGACCCAAGGAAAUGAAAUUCGCUGUGAGAUAGGCAUGCGUCCCAUUAGCUAGUUGGUGAGGUAACGGCUCACCAAGGCGACGAUGGGUAGGGGAACUGAGAGGUUGAACCCCCACACUGGUACUGAGACACGGACCAGACUCCUACGGGAGGCAGCAGUGAGGAAUAUUGGUCAAUGGGCGAGAGCCUGAACCAGCCAAGUCGCGUGAAGGAUGACUGUCUUAUGGAUUGUAAACUUCUUUUAGACGGGAAUAACAAGAGCCACGUGUGGCUCCCUGCAUGUACCGUAUGAAUAAGCAUCGGCUAACUCCGUG